GCAGCCUUUUCCUUUUUCUUCCGAGUUCUGCAACUCUUCUCCAUCUAUUUUCAUCUCCUCCAAGAAAUUAGAAUUUGAAACCCAACUUCAACAAUAAUAGUGAAAUAGAAGAACUAAGAUAAUCAUCGUUUUUUUUUUAUGAUAUCCCCAAACCCUUUCUUCAUCUCCUCUACUAAAGUUUCUUUAUCACCUACACAACGAAAACCCUAUCUUCUAAAUUAUGUGCAUCGUCAUUAAACAAGCCCUUUACUCCACCUCGUUCUUAUUGAUGUCUUCUAUUAAUUUUUCCGUUUUCUGGAAACAGAAACAGAACCAUUUCUUAGAUCUGUAACCAAUUUCUUAGAUUUGUAACAUGUAAUCUUAAUUGUGAACCAUUCUUAAAUCCAUUUUUUUGCCUUUAUCUGUUAGGGUUCUAAUCAACUAUUCUUCUAUUUCGUAAACGGAACCCCCUUUUAUUUCAACAUCAGUAGUAUAUCGGAGAAGAGUACCACAAAAAUCAGAGAAGAUGUUCUGGUUAUUAUCAUUGGAUUUAUUUGUGUUAUGUUUUAUUCGAAGUAAUACAUCUACAAAGCAGUCAUCAGGGAUCAGCUGGAACACAUGAUUCUUGGGGACCUCAAAUUAAGGGUCUUACUUGAGACACCAAAUGAUGAGAUGAACAUCAUUAGAUACGAUUCAUUUAGUUUAUUGAUGAUCUCAGUUGAGUAAGAAAUGGAAUUGACUAUUGAGGUUUGUGCAUUUGAUAAUUGUGGAAUGGGCUAGAGUUCGAUACCCAUUAGAAAAUCUGAACACAUGGACAACAAUAUGGCAAAAGAUGCAGUGGCAUUAAUUGAUCAUUUAGGUUGGGGUAAAGCUCAUGCUUUCAAUCAUUUUGACAACCCCCUUAUUUUCAUUUGGAUAACUUGUGGUAUAAUCUCUGCUCAGGGAAUGUUGAAAUUCUUCAAAUGGGUUUCUUGGUAUGAAACUCAAAUUGGAAUUUCAUAUUCUCCCAAUUAUGGAGCUCAUGGUCUGAAAUAUUUUGGUUAGUCCUAUUUUCUGUAGGCAUGCUUCGUAUGAUUUGGUUGCUCUGAAUUUUGGAGAUGCUUUAGAUUGAGACCGUAUGCUAUGUUCCAGUUGUACCGAAGAAUUUGUGACUUAUUGGACUUUUGGUUUUGUAAAUAUAGAAUUUGUGAUUGAUAAGUUACAUUACCGAGAGCUCCACAAGUACCAGGGGCCAUCAAUUAUUUCAUGGAAUUCCUCAUGUGGUCAUUUAAUUUGCAUCCAAGUGAUGAUCUGAAAAUCCAAACUAUUUCUUCUUAUCUGAUAUAUGAUAUCGGGGAUGCCAAGCUUGCAGGUUUGCUUCCACAUUACAGGUUAUAUAAGUUUCAUUUUUCUUUUCCUUGCCUCGUUUUAAAGUUAAUCAACAUCUGAGUUGUUUUAUUUUUCUUAUGUCUUAUUGGAUAUUGCGAUUGGACCCCUAAUGGUAUUGAUGAUGAAUUUGUGUUUUGUGUUUGUGUUAAGAGUUCCUUCUUUAGUUUCUUGUAGUGUAGUGUUAAAAAUUCUUUAAUGUUUGUUGUAGGAAGAGAAAGUUGAGGUGGAGGAUAUUGUUGCAGAAUCGAUUCUGGAUAUUGUCCACGAUAAAUAUGCUCACUACAAGAAAACUGAGCUUGUCCAAUCUGCUUACGAUUCUGUGUUGGGUCAUCUAGUUAGAGCCAUUUGCUGGUUAUUAUGGAGUCAUUGGUCACCACAUAAAAAUCAAUGGUCGGAGACGAAGAAGGGCCAAAAGAGAUAGCACCAGGGAAGAUGAAAGUCCAGUUUUCAUGCAGGUGCAUCCUGGAACGAAAAUAACAAGCGAUCGGUAUUGCAAUUGAGAGCACAAGGUUGAAAAAACUUUAGGUAGCUAUUACGAAUUUGUUUUAUUAUGUAUAAACAAUUGAAGUGGAUAUUCAAGUUUUCAUAUAUUGUGAACUUGGGUAGUAGUUAGAAAUUGAAGUGUAAAUUGAAUCUAGCUUUUAAUGUAAAUAUUUACUUUGUUUCCAUAUUAA